CUGUCUGCCUCUGUCCGUCUGUCUGUGUGUGUGAAUGCCUGUCUGUCUCUGAGCAGGGUCCUAAUGCUUCAUAUCAAGCGGUUUACUGCAGGCAACUGGGAGCCAGAGAAGGUGGAUGAUCCCAUAUCCAUCCCUGCAGAACUGACCCUCCCAGCCGUAUGUGGGGCGACAGCCCCUGUCCAGCAUGGAGCCAGGGCAAGCUCCAUGGGGAAAAACAACAUGGACAACACACCUGCAAACUCCCCGAAAGGCACCCUUGAUAGACCAGGCCACUACAUCAGUGAUGUUUUGGACAGCCGUGGCAGUGGGUGGCUCUGCCUGGAUGACGCACAUGUCUUGAGGACAGAUGAGGCCAC
rnacentral:lncRNA from 1 species